AAUAGAUACCCAGGUAGUCCACGCCCUAAACGAUGUCUACUAGUUGUUGGGUCUUAAUUGACUUAGUAACGCAGCUAACGCGUGAAGUAGACCGCCUGGGGAGUACGGUCGCAAGACUAAAACUCAAAGGAAUUGACGGGGACCCGCACAAGCGGUGAAUGAUGUGGAUUAAUUCGAUGCAACGCGAAAAACCUUACCUACCCUUGACAUGUCAGGAACCUCCGAGAGAUUGGAGGGUGCCCGAAAGGGAGCCUGAACACAGGUGCUGCAUGGCUGUCGUCAGCUCGUGUCGUGAGAUGUUGGGUUAAGUCCCGCAACGAGCGCAACCCUUGUCAUUAGUUGCUACGAAAGGGCACUCUAAUGAGACUGCCGGUGACAAACCGGAGGAAGGUGGGGAUGACGUCAAGUCCUCAUGGCCCUUAUGGGUAGGGCUUCACACGUCAUACAAUGGUACAUACAGAGGGCCGCCAACCCGCGAGGGGGAGCUAAUCCCAGAAAGUGUAUCGUAGUCCGGAUCGCAGUCUGCAA
rnacentral:rRNA from 1 species